UACAGAGGUCUCAAGCGUUGUUCGGAUUCAUUGGGCGUAAAGGGUGUGUAGGUGGCUUGCUCAGUCAGACGUGAAAUCCCUCAGCUUAACUGGGGAACUGCGUCUGAUACUAGCGAGCUUGAGUGCAGGAGAGGAACGCGGAAUUCCAGGUGUAGCGGUGAAAUGCGUAGAUAUCUGGAGGAACGCCGGUGGCGAAGGCGGCGUUCUGGACUGCAACUGACACUGAAAAACGAAAGCCAGGGGAGCAAACGGG
rnacentral:rRNA from 1 species